rnacentral:rRNA from 1 species
UUUAUGGAGAGUUUGAUCCUGGCUCAGGAUGAACGCUGGCGGCGUGCCUAAUACAUGCAAGUCGAGCGAACGGACGAGAAGCUUGCUUCUCUGAUGUUAGCGGCGGACGGGUGAGUAACACGUGGAUAACCUACCUAUAAGACUGGGAUAACUUCGGGAAACCGGAGCUAAUACCGGAUAAUAUUUUGAACCGCAUGGUUCAAAAGUGAAAGACGGUCUUGCUGUCACUUAUAGAUGGAUCCGCGCUGCAUUAGCUAGUUGGUAAGGUAACGGCUUACCAAGGCAACGAUGCAUAGCCGACCUGAGAGGGUGAUCGGCCACACUGGAACUGAGACACGGUCCAGACUCCUACGGGAGGCAGCAGUAGGGAAUCUUCCGCAAUGGGCGAAAGCCUGACGGAGCAACGCCGCGUGAGUGAUGAAGGUCUUCGGAUCGUAAAACUCUGUUAUUAGGGAAGAACAUAUGUGUAAGUAACUGUGCACAUCUUGACGGUACCUAAUCAGAAAGCCACGGCUAACUACGUGCCAGCAGCCGCGGUAAUACGUAGGUGGCAAGCGUUAUCCGGAAUUAUUGGGCGUAAAGCGCGCGUAGGCGGUUUUUUAAGUCUGAUGUGAAAGCCCACGGCUCAACCGUGGAGGGUCAUUGGAAACUGGAAAACUUGAGUGCAGAAGAGGAAAGUGGAAUUCCAUGUGUAGCGGUGAAAUGCGCAGAGAUAUGGAGGAACACCAGUGGCGAAGGCGACUUUCUGGUCUGUAACUGACGCUGAUGUGCGAAAGCGUGGGGAUCAAACAGGAUUAGAUACCCUGGUAGUCCACGCCGUAAACGAUGAGUGCUAAGUGUUAGGGGGUUUCCGCCCCUUAGUGCUGCAGCUAACGCAUUAAGCACUCCGCCUGGGGAGUACGACCGCAAGGUUGAAACUCAAAGGAAUUGACGGGGACCCGCACAAGCGGUGGAGCAUGUGGUUUAAUUCGAAGCAACGCGAAGAACCUUACCAAAUCUUGACAUCCUUUGACAACUCUAGAGAUAGAGCCUUCCCCUUCGGGGGACAAAGUGACAGGUGGUGCAUGGUUGUCGUCAGCUCGUGUCGUGAGAUGUUGGGUUAAGUCCCGCAACGAGCGCAACCCUUAAGCUUAGUUGCCAUCAUUAAGUUGGGCACUCUAAGUUGACUGCCGGUGACAAACCGGAGGAAGGUGGGGAUGACGUCAAAUCAUCAUGCCCCUUAUGAUUUGGGCUACACACGUGCUACAAUGGACAAUACAAAGGGCAGCGAAACCGCGAGGUCAAGCAAAUCCCAUAAAGUUGUUCUCAGUUCGGAUUGUAGUCUGCAACUCGACUACAUGAAGCUGGAAUCGCUAGUAAUCGUAGAUCAGCAUGCUACGGUGAAUACGUUCCCGGGUCUUGUACACACCGCCCGUCACACCACGAGAGUUUGUAACACCCGAAGCCGGUGGAGUAACCUUUU